rnacentral:tRNA from 1 species
AAUCUCAUGGCUCAAUUGGAUAGAGCGUUGGUUUACGACACCGAAGGUUGAAGGUUCGAGCCCUUCUGAGAUUACAA